UGCCUAACACAUGCAAGUCGAGCGGAGAUGAUGUGAGGAAGUUUUCGGAUGGAAUCACAUUAUUUAGCGGCGGACGGGUGAGUAACGCGUGAGCGACCAACCUUGCACAGGGGGAUAACGGACCGAAAGGUUCACUAAUACCGCAUGAGACCACGGUGUUGCAUGACACAGGGGGUCAAAAGGAGCAAUCCGGUGCAAGACGGGCUCGCGUCCGAUUAGGUAGUUGGUGGGGUAAUGGCCCACCAAGCCUAUGAUCGGUAGCCGACCUGAGAGGGUGAUCGGCCACAUUGGAACUGAGAUACGGUCCAAACUCCUACGGGAGGCAGCAGUGGGGAAUAUUGGGCAAAUGGGGGAAACCCUGACCCAGCAACGCCGCGUGAAGGAAGAAGGUUUUCGGAUUGUAAACUUCUGUCCUUGGUGAAGAGAAGAAGACGGUAGCCAAGGAGGAAGCCCCGGCUAACUACGUGCCAGCAGCCGC
rnacentral:rRNA from 1 species